GACGGGACCGCACAAGCGGUGGAUGAUGUGGAUUAAUUCGAUGCAACGCGAAAAACCUUACCUACCCUUGACAUGUCUGGAACCUUGCUGAGAGGCGAGGGUGCCUUCGGGAGCCAGAACACAGGUGCUGCAUGGCUGUCGUCAGCUCGUGUCGUGAGAUGUUGGGUUAAGUCCCGCAACGAGCGCAACCCUUGUCAUUAGUUGCCAUCAUUUAGUUGGGCACUCUAAUGAGACUGCCGGUGACAAACCGGAGGAAGGUGGGGAUGACGUCAAGUCCUCAUGGCCCUUAUGGGUAGGGCUUCACACGUCAUACAAUGGUCGGUACAGAGGGUUGCCAAGCCGCGAGGUGGAACCAAUCCCUUAAAGCCGAUCGUAGUCCGGAUCGUAGUCUGCAACUCGACUACGUGAAGAUGGAGUUGCUAGUAACCGCAGGUCAGCUAUACUGCGGUGAAUACGUUCCCGGGUCUU
rnacentral:rRNA from 1 species